rnacentral:rRNA from 1 species
AUGCACAACUUUUUUGAAGUGUUUCCUGAGAUUUGUCACCUCGAGAUUGAGGGCGCACGGGAACACACGAAACCAGAAAAAAGGCCAAACAGAAAAACCGCUCGUUAUCGUUCCACCACGAGACCACCCGGCCCCCUUCGCCGUCUCCCCGUCGCGCUCGCCGCCGGCCGGAUACAUCCAAUCCAAGCGCCGCCCGCGCGCCCCUGCUCCGACCCAAUGGCGUGGGGCGCGCCCGCGCGGGCGCAGUCGUCGCGGGUGCAGGCGCUCUACGACCUCUGCAGGCGCACCUUCCCCUCCCCCUCCUCCGCCGCGUCCCCGCCCGCCCCUCCGCCGGCCAGCGCCGUCCGGGCCAUAUCCUCCCUCAUGGACACCAUCAGCCCCGCGGACGUCGGGCUCAGGGACGACAGCCUCGGGGACGGCGGCGGCGGGCACGGGUUCUUCGACUCCACCUUCGUCAAGGGCGCGGCCAGGGCGUCCAGGUGGGCGCAGCCCAUCACCUACCUGCACGUCUACGAGUGCGACGCCUUCUCUAUUGGAAUAUUCUGCUUGCCAACUUCAGCCGUCAUUCCUCUCCAUGAUCAUCCAGGAAUGACUGUAUUGAGCAAAAUCCUGUAUGGUUCGAUGCAUGUGAAAUCAUAUGACUGGGUAGAGCCUACUGUUCUAGCGAGUAAUCGACAAGUGAAGCUGGCCAAGUUACAUGCAGAUGAUGUUCUUACUGCUCCAUGUCCAACUACCGUUUUGUAUCCCCAAAGUGGCGGGAACCUACACUCCUUCACUUCAGUUGCCUCUUGUGCUGUUCUUGAUGUACUUGCCCCACCAUACGCUGAAGAUGCUGGUCGAAUUUGCACCUAUUUUAAUGAUUAUCCGUUUUCUAGCUUCUCCAGUGGCCGCGCAAAGACAGUCGAUAGCCCAGAUAACUAUGCCUGGAUUGAAGCCAUAAACUCACCUGUGUACAUUAACAUGCGCCCUGGCAUGUAUACUGGCCCAACUGUACAGGACCGCCUAUCAUAA